rnacentral:rRNA from 1 species
CCUACGGGUGGCUGCAGUGGGGAAUAUUGGACAAUGGGCGAAAGCCUGAUCCAGCCAUGCCGCGUGUGUGAAGAAGGCCUUCGGGUUGUAAAGCACUUUCAGUGGGGAAGAAAGCCUUGGGGCUAAUACCCUCGAGGAAGGACAUCACCCACAGAAGAAGCACCGGCUAACUCCGUGCCAGCAGCCGCGGUAAUACGGAGGGUGCGAGCGUUAAUCGGAAUUACUGGGCGUAAAGCGCGCGUAGGCGGUCUGAUAAGCCGGUUGUGAAAGCCCCGGGCUCAACCUGGGAACGGCAUCCGGAACUGUCAGGCUAGAGUGCAGGAGAGGAAGGUAGAAUUCCCGGUGUAGCGGUGAAAUGCGUAGAGAUCGGGAGGAAUACCAGUGGCGAAGGCGGCCUUCUGGACUGACACUGACGCUGAGGUGCGAAAGCGUGGGUAGCAAACAGGAUUAGAUACCCCAGUAGU